AGUGGCGCACGGGUGAGUAACGCGUGGGAACCUGCCUUUCUCUGUGGGAUAACGGUUGGAAACGACCGCUAAUACCGCAUACGCCCUACGGGGGAAAGGUCCGCCGGAGAAAGAGGGGCCCGCGUCUGAUUAGUUAGUUGGUGGGGUAACGGCCUACCAAGACGACGAUCAGUAGCUGGUCUGAGAGGAUGAUCAGCCACACUGGGACUGAGACACGGCCCAGACUCCUACGGGAGGCAGCAGUGGGGAAUAUUGGACAAUGGGGGCAACCCUGAUCCAGCAAUGCCGCGUGUGUGAUGAAGGCCUUAGGGUUGUAAAGCACUUUCACUGGUGAAGAUGAUGACGGUAACCAGAGAAGAAGCCCCGGCUAACUUCGUGCCAGCAGCCGCGGUAAUACGAAGGGGGCGAGCGUUGUUCGGAAUUACUGGGCGUAAAGGGCGCGUAGGCGGUCUUUUAAGUUAGGCGUGAAAUCCCCGGGCUCAACCUGGGAACUGCGCUUAAAACUGAAAGACUAGAAAACGGAAGAGGGUAGUGGAAUUCCCAGUGUAGAGGUGAAAUUCGUAGAUAUUGGGAAGAACACCAGUGGCGAAAGCGGCUACCUGGUCCGAUUUUGACGCUGAGGCGCGAAAGCGUGGGGAGCAACAGGAUUAGAUACCCUGGUAGUCCACNCCGUAAAC
rnacentral:rRNA from 1 species